UGUCAGGUAAGUUCUGACCCGCACGAAAGGCGCAAUGAUCUGGGAGCUGUCUCAACCAUAGACUCGGUGAAAUCUUAAUACCUGUGAAAAUGCAGGUUACCCGCGACAGGACGGAAAGACCCCAUGGAGCUUUACUGUAACUUGAUAUUGACAUUAGGUGAUGUAUGUAGAGGAUAGGUGGUAGACUUUGAAGCUAAGAUGCUAGUUUUAGUGGAGUCACCCUUGGAAUACCACCCUUACAUUACUUGAUUUCUAACUCGCAACCAUUAUCUGGUUGGAGGACAGUGUCUGGUGGGCAGUUUGACUGGGGCGGUCGCCUCCUAAACAGUAACGGAGGCGCCCAAUGGUUCCCUCAGAAUGGUUGGAAAUCAUUCAUAGAGCGUAAUGGCACAAGGGAGCUUGACUGCGAGACCUACAAGUCGAGCAGGUGCGAAAGCAGGGCAUAGUGAUCAGGCGGUAGAAUAUGGAAUUGCCGUCGCUUAACGGAUAAAAGUUACCCUGGGGAUAACAGGCUGAUACCACCCAAUAGUUCACAUAGACGGUGGUGUUUGGCACCUCGAUGUCGGCUCGUCACAUCCUGGAGGUGGAUUCGCUUCCAAGGGUUGGGCUGUUCGCCCAUUAAAGUGGCACGCGAGCUGGGUUCAGAACGUCGUGAGACAGUUCGGUCCCUAUCCGUCGUGGGCGCAGGAAAAUUGAGGAGAGCUGAUCCUAGUACGAGAGGACCGGAUUGGACAUACCUAUGGUGUAUCUGUUGUAACGCCAGUUGCAGUGCAGAGUAGCUAUGUAUGGACAGGAUAACCGCUGAAAGCAUAUAAGCGGGAAGCCCCUUCCAAGAUGAAUUUUCCCAUAUGUAUAUAGUAAGAACCCUUGCAGACUACAAGGUUGAUAGGCUGGAGAUGGAAGAAUAGCAAUAUUUUGAGUUGACCAGUACUAAUAGUUCGAGGAUUUAAUCCCA
rnacentral:rRNA from 1 species